rnacentral:rRNA from 1 species
AACGAACGCUGGCGGCAUGCCUAACACAUGCAAGUCGAACGAGACCUUCGGGUGUAGUGGCGCACGGGUGCGUAACGCGUGGGAACCUGCCCUUAGGUUCGGAAUAACUCCCCGAAAGGGGUGCUAAUACCGGAUAAUGUCUUCGGACCAAAGAUUUAUCGCCUUUGGAUGGGCCCGCGUUGGAUUAGCUAGUUGGUAGGGUAAUAGCCUACCACGGCGACGAUCCAUAGCUGGUCUGAGAGGAUGAUCAGCCACACUGGGACUGAGACGCGGCCCAGACUCCUACGGGAGGCAGGAGUGGGGGAUAGUGGAAAGUGGGGGGAGGGCUGAUGCAGCUAGGCCGCGUGAGUGAUGAAGGCCGUAGGGUUGUAAAGCGCUUUUACCCGGGAUGAUAAUGACAGUACCGGGAGAAUAAGCUCCGGCUAACUACGUG